CCUAAUUUCUGUCAGAAAAAUGGUUCCGAUUGAAAACGUGAAUUUACCUUAUGAAGAAAAACAGGGGAGGAACAUGGAAGGAUAUAUACCAUGGUGAAAUUGAGAUUUGGUCAGGAAAGAAGAUGAACUCCUCCCUACUGCUCCCUCCGCCGUUCUAGUGAUUCAAAGAUUGCCAAGGAGAAACGUGGUGUGGGAGGAAGGAGAUUUGGAAGUUUAUUUGCUAAAUAAAAUAAUGAAUACUUCCUUCUGCAAUGACGGAAGAAAUUUUGGAACGAGAUUUGCAGAAUAAGGAGGCGGCGCGUGAAGGAGGGGAGAUCUGUGCCAUAUCUCUUAUUUACAUAUUCUGUUAUUAGAAGUAACCAAGGAAAGUCUUGGUGACCAAGGAAAGGAGUAGGGUUUUGAUUAAAAUUAAUUUGGGCUUCAAGCACCGGUAUUUUUUUUUUUUUUAAAUUGUGUAGCCCGUAAUUAAGAUCGGACUUAUUUAUUUAAUUUAUCGGAUCCAACAUGGAAUUGAGUCCAAUAAAUAAUCCUCAAGAAAAGGAUUUAAUUAAAUUCACAUUGUGAUUUUACUAUCACCAUUCUCGAGCUCUCAUAACAAAUUAUCAAUUAUCCGAAAAUCAUUAAAUUCACCGCACAUGUAUUAUUCAAAAA